GGCAGCAAGAAACAGCAAUUUUCUCCUUUCGUCUUUAACUGAACAAAAUAUUGAAAUUUCCUUCCUCUGAAAAACUGAGUGCCAUAGAUAAUCUCAGAGAGAGAGAGAGAGAGAUAGGCCAUUUUGUUGAUUUGUGAAGCAGGGAAGGUCUGAGUUCAUGGCGCAGUUCACGGCGCAGGGACGCCUAAAGCAUCUGUUCAGGGGCGAAACAGUGUCAGUGGGAGUGGUCUUGGAUACCAAAGACCUAAAAAGUCAAUAUAAGGUCGGAGGUGGUGUGAAAUGCAUGGUGGACUCCCACUCAACCUGCCCCCACAAUCAUCGCCGGACCCUAAAGUUUCUUCCUUCUACCGCACUUUUCUCUUCCUCCUUCCUCAAGAAAUCCGUCCGCUCCAGUGCAGAAGCGCGUUCCACUGUCGGCGUAGACGAUGCCUUUCAUGGUUAUGACGGCGUCGAUGAGCUUGAGAACGAUGAGCUGUCGUGUUUCAGGGGUCUCGUCUUGGAUAUCUCUUACAGGCCUGUCAAUGUUGUCUGCUGGAGGCGUGCUAUUUGUUUGGAAUUCAUGGAGAAGGCUGAUGUUCUAGAAUAUUAUGAUCAGACUGUAAACUCUCCAAGUGGAUUGUUCUACAUACCAGCUGUCUUAAGAGUUCCCCAUUUGCUGCAGGUUGUCAAGAGGAGAAGGAUCAGAAACACCCUUACUCGCAAGAAUAUAUUUUACCGGGACAAUUUCACGUGCCAGUAUUGUUCUUCGAGUCACAACUUGACUAUUGAUCAUCUUUUGCCAAUUGCACGAGGUGGAAAUUGGAUAUGGGAAAAUUUGGUAACUGCUUGUGAGAAAUGCAACUCAAGAAAAGGUCAAAAAACUUUAGAGGAAGCAAAUAUGAAGCUAACUAAAAUUCCGAAGGCGCCUAAAGACUAUGACAUAUUGGCCAUUCCUUUAACAACUGCAGCUAUAAAGUUGCUGAGAAUGAGAAAGGGAACACCCCAAGAAUGGAACCAAUAUCUACAAAGACAAUCUUAGGAGCCAUGAUGUCAAAAUCAGUCACUUUGCGCAUGAUAAUAAUAUUUUCCUUGUCAAGGGUGCAGUCUCACUGAAAACGCCUCCCAAAGUUUAUCAGUUUAAAACCAAUGAAAUGAAAAUACUGCAGUGUGAAAUCUACAAUGUAAAUCUUGAAAUGUGAUUACUGAAAAUGUGAACAUUACAAUGUUAGUGUUGCAAUGAGAAUGAUGAAAUGUGAAUGCUGGUAUGUGAAUAUGAAAAUGUGAAUGUGAGAAAUGUGAAUAUUGUAACGUGAAUACUGCAAUAUGAAUGUGAAAUGAGAAUACUGGAAAUGUGAAAAAUUGCAUUGUGAAUAAUGCAAUUGUGAAUUAUUGAAA